AUUCCACAUUAUCCAAGAUAAAUUGUUGUUCACUUCAUGUUGAUUUUUUUUACAAAUUUUGUAAUAAAAUACUUUUAAUUUUAUUUACAUGUUUUUUAUUAUAAAAAUUAGAAAAAUUUAAAAUUAAAUUUAAAGUGAAUGACAAUUCUCCUGGCUAACACAGAGCAUUGGUUAAAUGUUACUCGGUUAAUUAGGACUCUACUGUAUCUACUAGGUAAGAAAUACCUUUUUCUUUUAGCAUUGUUAAUAUUUUCUAUUGUUUAUCCAUACCAUGUGCUAUUGUACCAUUUAUCACUAAAAACUGAUGCCAUUCAAAAUCCUGAUUAUCUAAGUGUGGUAAUUUAUCUAGAAUAUGUUUCCUAAUACAGUAAAACCUGUCUUGAGAGACCCCUGCAGUCAGCGACCACCUGUAAUAUAAGGACACGUUUGUUUGGAACGGAAGAGUUUCCAAUGUUAAUGA
rnacentral:lncRNA from 1 species